GAUAACCUUCGGGGCAGGGUGCGGGUCUGGUGACCUAAUUCCCGAUCGGUGGUAAUCCCGAAAAAGGGAGAGCCCACGAGCGCCAUCCUGGGCGCAUGAACCGGUGAGAAGCCGGUGCCGGCGGUGACAGUCCGAAUGAGAGAAGGUCGGU
rnacentral:ncRNA from 1 species